UUCUCUAGAGUCUUGCGCAAAUAUUUUCAUCACAGUAUCUUUUUAUCACAGUGAUUUUCCUCACACUACCAGUCGUUACCAUAGAAAUAUUGUUUUUGUUUGUUGAUUUUUAUUUCUCGUAAAGUCGAAACAGUUGGAAACCGUUCAAAGUCAGAUAAGUUGGAAUCUGUUGUAAUGCCGGACAGUCAAAUUGAGGAGUCAAAUCCUGCUUCCAAACAGAGCCAAAAAGGAAUUUAUUCUGUGACUUCCCAGCAGCGUUGAUAACUCCUGUAAAGCUUUACCGGACAUGUAACGGAUUGACAAAAACAAGCUAUUAGCUAAUGACCACAUCAUUGCGUCUACCACUGGAAGCAGUCGGGAUUUUAACAAUUGUGUAAGAUGAUCAUUUCCAACGUUGUUUUGAAAUAAAUGCUAAUUCAUCAACAAUAGUUUAUUUAUGGCGUUUACAUAAACGAGCUGAAAGAAACAGAUGGUCACGGCCAAUAUUUAUGGUUCUUGAGAAAGGCAUCGAUCUUUCAUGGCAUGGAUCUUCUAGACGGCGGAGGGGUAGUUUGGGUAGAAAGAUCAUGAUUUUCGUCUUCAAUAGAUUAGGAGGUUCCUGAAGCCAGAAUCAGUCGUAAUUGUCUUCUUACACCUAGUAUCUUGCCAUUCCUGGGACUACCCGGACUUGACAUGUUCGCAGCAAUUGUCCGAAAAAAUCAUGGCCUCGAGCCGUGAGAAAAAUGGUACCAUUUACGGACUCAGCGAAGACAGCUCCAAAUGGCCGAUAGAAUUAUGCCCUCGAGCUCAUUAGAAAAAAAUAACCCAAGAAACAAGAAAAAUAAUAAAGUUUCAAAUACGAGAUUCGAGCCAGGAACCUUUAAAAGACAAUCUCAAUGACUUAGCUGCCUCGGCUA